AACGAACGCUGGCGGCAUGCCUAACACAUGCCAGUCGAACGAGACCUUCGGGUCUAGUGGCGCACGGGUGCGUAACGCGUGGGAACCUGCCCUUAGGUUCGGAAUAACUCCCCGAAAGGGGUGCUAAUACCGGAUAAUGUCUUCGGACCAAAGAUUUAUCGCCUUUGGAUGGGCCCGCGUUGGAUUAGCUAGUUGGUAGGGUAAAAGCCUACCAAGGCGUCGAUCCAUAGCUGGUCUGAGAGGAUGAUCAGCCACACUGGGACUGAGACACGGCCCAGACUCCUACGGGAGGCAGCAGUGGGGAAUAGUGGACAAUGGGCGAAAGCCUGAUCCAGCAAUGCCGCGUGAGUGAUGAAGGCCUUAGGGUUGUAAAGCUCUUUUACCCGGGAUGAUAAUGACAGUACCGGGAGAAUAAGCUCCGGCUAACUCCGUG
rnacentral:rRNA from 1 species